rnacentral:rRNA from 1 species
CUUUCCGNAUNUUGGGUUUAAAGGGUCCGUAGGCGGUUUAAUAAGUCAGUGGUGAAAGCCCAUCGCUCAACGGUGGAACGGCCAUUGAUACUGUUAGACUUGAAUUAUUAGGAAGUAACUAGAAUAUGUAGUGUAGCGGUGAAAUGCUUAGAGAUUACAUGGAAUACCAAUUGCGAAGGCAGGUUACUACUAAUUGAUUGACGCUGAUGGACGAAAGCGUGGGUAGCGAACAGGAUUAGAUACCCUGGUAGUCCACGCCGUAAACGAUGGAUACUAGCUGUUGGGAGCAAUUUCAGUGGCUAAGCGAAAGUGAUAAGUAUCCCACCUGGGGAGUACGUUCGCAAGAAUGAAACUCAAAGGAAUUGACGGGGGCCCGCACAAGCGGUGGAGCAUGUGGUUUAAUUCGAUGAUACGCGAGGAACCUUACCAAGGCUUAAAUGUAGAUUGACCGGUUUGGAAACAGACUUUUCGCAAGACAAUUUACAAGGUGCUGCAUGGUUGUCGUCAGCUCGUGCCGUGAGGUGUCAGGUUAAGUCCUAUAACGAGCGCAACCCCUGUUGUUAGUUGCCAGCGAGUCAAGUCGGGAACUCUAACAAGACUGCCAGUGCAAACUGUGAGGAANGUGGGGAUGACNUCAAUCAUCACGGCCCUUACNCCUUGGGCUACACACNUGCUACAAUGGCCGGU